CGUUGAUAGGUCAGAGGUGUAAGUAUGGCAACAUAUUUAGCUGACUGAUACUAAUAGGUCGAGGGCUUGACCAAUAA
rnacentral:rRNA from 1 species